rnacentral:rRNA from 1 species
GGUUAAGCGACUAAGCGUACACGGUGGAUGCCCUGGCAGUCAGAGGCGAUGAAGGACGUGCUAAUCUGCGAUAAGCGUCGGUGAGGUGAUAUGAACCGUUAUAACCGGCGAUUUCCGAAUGGGGAAACCCAGUGUGUUUCGACACACUAUCAUUAACUGAAUCCAUAGGUUAAUGAGGCGAACCGGGGGAACUGAAACAUCUAAGUACCCCGAGGAAAAGAAAUCAACCGAGAUUCCCCCAGUAGCGGCGAGCGAACGGGGAGGAGCCCAGAGCCUGAAUCAGUGUGUGUGUUAGUGGAAGCGUCUGGAAAGGCGUGCGAUACAGGGUGACAGCCCCGUACACAAAAAUGCACAUAUUGUGAGCUCGAUGAGUAGGGCGGGACACGUGGUAUCCUGUCUGAAUAUGGGGGGACCAUCCUCCAAGGCUAAAUACUCCUGACUGACCGAUAGUGAACCAGUACCGUGAGGGAAAGGCGAAAAGAACCCCGGCGAGGGGAGUGAAAAAGAACCUGAAACCGUGUACGUACAAGCAGUGGGAGCCUCUUAAUGGGGUGACUGCGUACCUUUUGUAUAAUGGGUCAGCGACUUAUAUUCUGUAGCAAGGUUAACCGAAUAGGGGAGCCGAAGGGAAACCGAGUCUUAACUGGGCGUUAAGUUGCAGGGUAUAGACCCGAAACCCGGUGAUCUAGCCAUGGGCAGGUUGAAGGUUGGGUAACACUAACUGGAGGACCGAACCGACUAAUGUUGAAAAAUUAGCGGAUGACUUGUGGCUGGGGGUGAAAGGCCAAUCAAACCGGGAGAUAGCUGGUUCUCCCCGAAAGCUAUUUAGGUAGCGCCUCGUGAAUUCAUCUCCGGGGGUAGAGCACUGUUUCGGCAAGGGGGUCAUCCCGACUUACCA